rnacentral:misc_RNA from 1 species
UCUCCGUUGGUGAACCAGCGGACGGAUCAUUACCGAGUUUAAAACUCCCAAACCCAAUGUGAACCAUACCAAACUGUUGCCUCGGCGGGGUCACGCCCCGGGUGCGUCGCAGCCCCGGAACCAGGCGCCCGCCGGAGGGACCAACAAAACUUGUUCUGUAGUCCCCUCGCGGACGUUAUUUUUACAGCUCUGAGCAAAAAUUCAAAAUGAAUCAAAACUUUCAACAACGGAUCUCUUGGUUCUG